rnacentral:rRNA from 1 species
UACGAAGGGGGCUAGCGUUGCUCGGAAUCACUGGGCGUAAAGCGCACGUAGGCGGCUUCUUAAGUCAGGGGUGAAAUCCUGGAGCUCAACUCCAGAACUGCCUUCGAUACUGAGAGUCUCGAGUCCGGGAGAGGUGAGUGGAACUGCGAGUGUAGAGGUGAAAUUCGUAGAUAUUCGCAAGAACACCAGUGGCGAAGGCGGCUCACUGGCCCGGUACUGACGCUGAGGUGCGAAAGCGUGGGGAGCAAACAGG